ACUCAAAUGAAUUGACGGGGACUUGCACAAGCGGUGGAUCAUGCGGCUUAAUUCGAUGGUAAACGAAGAACCUCACCAGGGUUUGAAACCCACACGUAAUCCUUAGGAAACUUUGGACCUCGCAAGACGGGUGGGCAGGUGAUGCAUGGUCGUCGUCAGUUCGUGGCUUGAGUUGUUCCCUUCAGUGGGGUAACGAACGCAACCCUCGUUGCCUGUUUUAUAUGUCAGGCGAGACUGCCCCCUCACGGGGGAGGAAGGUGAGGAUGACGCCAGAUCAGCAUGUCCCUUUGAUAUCCUGGGCUGCACGCAUGAUACAAUGGCACCGACAACGGGACGCGACGGGGUAACCCUGAGCAAAUCCUUAUAAACGGUGCCCCAAUUUGGAUUGAGGUCUGCAACUCGACCUCAUGAAACCGGAAUCGCUAGUAAUCGCGGGUCAGCUAUACCGCGGUGAAUACGUUCUCAAGUCUUGUACACACCGCCCGU
rnacentral:rRNA from 1 species